GUGACUGCGUACCUUUUGUAUAAUGGGUCAGCGACUUAUAUUCUGUAGCAAGGUUAACCGAAUAGGGGAGCCGCAGGGAAACCGAGUCUUAAUUGGGCGUUAAGUUGCAGGGUAUAGACCCGAAACCCGGUGAUCUAGCCAUGGGCAGGUUGAAGGUUGGGUAACACUAACUGGAGGACCGAACCGACUAAUGUUGAAAAAUUAGCGGAUGACCUGUGGCUGGGGGUGAAAGGCCAAUCAAACCGGGAGAUAGCUGGUUCUCCCCGAAAGCUAUUUAGGUAGCGCCUCGUGAAUUCAUCUCCGGGGGUAGAGCACUGUUUCGGCUAGGGGGCCAUCCCGGCUUACCAACCCGAUGCAAACUGCGAAUACCGGAGAAUGUUAUCACGGGAGACACACGGCGGGUGCUAACGUCCGUCGUGAAGAGGGAAACAACCCAGACCGCCAGCUAAGGUCCCAAAGUCAUGGUUAAGUGGGAAACGAUGUGGGAAGGCCCAGACAGCCAGGAUGUUGGCUUAGAAGCAGCCAUCAUUUAAAGAAAGCGUAAUAGCUCACUGGUCGAGUCGGCCUGCGCGGAAGAUGUAACGGGGCUAAACCAUGCACCGAAGCUGCGGCAGCGACGCUGAUGCGUUGUUGGGUAGGGGAGCGUUCUGUAAGCCUGUGAAGGUGUGUCGUGAGGCAUGCUGGAGGUAUCAGAAGUGCGAAUGCUGACAUAAGUAACGAUAAAGCGGGUGAAAAGCCCGCUCGCCGGAAGACCAAGGGUUCCUGUCCAACGUUAAUCGGGGCAGGGUGAGUCGACCCCUAAGGCGAGGCCGAAAGGCGUAGUCGAUGGGAAACGGGUUAAUAUUCCCGUACUUGGUGUUACUGCGAAGGGGGGACGGAGAAGGCUAUGUUGGCCGGGCGACGGUUGUCCCGGUUUAAGCGUGUAGGUGUGUGUUCCAGGUAAAUCCGGUUCACUUUAACACUGAGGCGUGAUGACGAGGCACUACGGUGCUGAAGCAACAAAUGCCCUGCUUCCAGGAAAAGCCUCUAAGCAUCAGGUAACAUCAAAUCGUACCCCAAACCGACACAGGUGGUCAGGUAGAGAAUACCAAGGCGCUUGAGAGAACUCGGGUGAAGGAACUAGGCAAAAUGGUGCCGUAACUUCGGGAGAAGGCACGCUGACACGUAGGUGAAGUGAUUUACUCAUGGAGCUGAAGUCAGUCGAAGAUACCAGCUGGCUGCAACUGUUUAUUAAAAACACAGCACUGUGCAAACACGAAAGUGGACGUAUACGGUGUGACGCCUGCCCGGUGCCGGAAGGUUAAUUGAUGGGGUCAGCGCAAGCGAAGCUCCUGAUCGAAGCCCCGGUAAACGGCGGCCGUAACUAUAACGGUCCUAAGGUAGCGAAAUUCCUUGUCGGGUAAGUUCCGACCUGCACGAAUGGCGUAAUGAUGGCCAGGCUGUCUCCACCCGAGACUCAGUGAAAUUGAACUCGCUGUGAAGAUGCAGUGUACCCGCGGCAAGACGGAAAGACCCCGUGAACCUUUACUAUAGCUUGACACUGAACAUUGAGCCUUGAUGUGUAGGAUAGGUGGGAGGCUUUGAAGUGUGGACGCCAGUCUGCAUGGAGCCGACCUUGAAAUACCACCCUUUAAUGUUUGAUGUUCUAACGUGGACCCGUAAUCCGGGUUGCGGACAGUGUCUGGUGGGUAGUUUGACUGGGGCGGUCUCCUCCUAAAGAGUAACGGAGGAGCACGAAGGUUGGCUAAUCCUGGUCGGACAUCAGGAGGUUAGUGCAAUGGCAUAAGCCAGCUUGACUGCGAGCGUGACGGCGCGAGCAGGUGCGAAAGCAGGUCAUAGUGAUCCGGUGGUUCUGAAUGGAAGGGCCAUCGCUCAACGGAUAAAAGGUACUCCGGGGAUAACAGGCUGAUACCGCCCAAGAGUUCAUAUCGACGGCGGUGUUUGGCACCUCGAUGUCGGCUCAUCACAUCCUGGGGCUGAAGUAGGUCCCAAGGGUAUGGCUGUUCGCCAUUUAAAGUGGUACGCGAGCUGGGUUUAGAACGUCGUGAGACAGUUCGGUCCCUAUCUGCCGUGGGCGCUGGAGAACUGAGGGGGGCUGCUCCUAGUACGAGAGGACCGGAGUGGACGCAUCACUGGUGUUCGGGUUGUCAUGCCAAUGGCAUUGCCCGGUAGCUAAAUGCGGAAGAGAUAAGUGCUGAAAGCAUCUAAGCACGAAACUUGCCCCGAGAUGAGUUCUCCCUGAGACUUUAAGUCUCCUGAAGGAACGUUGAAGACGACGACGUUGAUAGGCCGGGUGUGUAAGCGCAGCGAUGCGUUGAGCUAACCGGUACUAAUGAACCGUGAGGCUUAACCUUACAACGCCGAAG
rnacentral:rRNA from 2 species